AAACCAACCGGGAUUGCCUUAGUAACGGCGAGUGAAGCGGCAAAAGCUCAAAUUUGAAAUCUGGUACCUUCGGUGCCCGAGUUGUAAUUUGGAGAGGGCAACUUUGGGGCCGUUCCUUGUCUAUGUUCCUUGGAACAGGACGUCAUAGAGGGUGAGAAUCCCGUGUGGCGAGGAGUGCGGUUCUUUGUAAAGUGCCUUCGAAGAGUCGAGUUGUUUGGGAAUGCAGCUCUUAGUGGGUGGUAAAUUCCAUCUAAAGCUAAAUAUUGGCGAGAGACCGAUAGCGAACAAGUACAGUGAUGGAAAGAUGAAAAGAACUUUGAAAAGAGAGUGAAAAAGUACGUGAAAUUGUUGAAAGGGAAGGGCAUUUGAUCAGACAUGGUGUUUUGUGCCCUCUGCUCCUUGUGGGUAGGGGAAUCUCGCAUUUCACUGGGCCAGCAUCAGUUUUGGUGGCAGGAUAAAUCCAUAGGAAUGUAGCUUGCCUCGGUAAGUAUUAUAGCCUGUGGGAAUACUGCCAGCUGGGACUGAGGACUGCGACGUAAGUCAAGGAUGCUGGCAUAAUGGUUAUAUGCCGC
rnacentral:rRNA from 1 species